rnacentral:rRNA from 1 species
GUCCACGCCGUAAACGAUGAUGACUAGCUGUCGGGGCUCAUGGAGUUUCGGUGGCGCAGCUAACGCGUUAAGUCAUCCGCCUGGGGAGUACGGCCGCAAGGUUAAACUCAAAGAAUUGACGGGGCCUGCACAAGCGGUGGAGCAUGUGGUUUAAUUCGAAGCAACGCGCAGAACCUUACCAACCCUUGACAUGGGUAUCGCGGGACCAGAGAUGGUCCUUUCAGUUCGGCUUGAUACCACACAGGUGCUGCAUGGCUGUCGU